AUCCGGGUUGCGGACAGUGUCUGGUGGGUAGUUUGACUGGGGCGGUCUCCUCCUAAAGAGUAACGGAGGAGCACGAAGGUUGGCUAAUCCUGGUCGGACAUCAGGAGGUUAGUGCAAUGGCAUAAGCCAGCUUGACUGCGAGCGUGACGGCGCGAGCAGGUGCGAAAGCAGGUCAUAGUGAUCCGGUGGUUCUGAAUGGAAGGGCCAUCGCUCAACGGAUAAAAGGUACUCCGGGGAUAACAGGCUGAUACCGCCCAAGAGUUCAUAUCGACGGCGGUGUUUGGCACCUCGAUGUCGGCUCAUCACAUCCUGGGGCUGAAGUAGGUCCCAAGGGUAUGGCUGUUCGCCAUUUAAAGUGGUACGCGAGCUGGGUUUAGAACGUCGUGAGACAGUUCGGUCCCUAUCUGCCGUGGGCGCUGGAGAACUGAGGGGGGCUGCUCCUAGUACGAGAGGACCGGAGUGGACGCAUCACUGGUGUUCGGGUUGUCAUGCCAAUGGCACUGCCCGGUAGCUAAAUGCGGAAGAGAUAAGUGCUGAAAGCAUCUAAGCACGAAACUUGCCCCGAGAUGAGUUCUCCCUGAC
rnacentral:rRNA from 1 species